GGCCUCUCUCCCAUUGGACUGUGGGGCCCUUUUCUCCUCAGUCAGGGCUAGAGGCCAAGAUCAGCUCUUGAGGAUCUUCGUGGGGACUGUCAUGAGGAGGACAGUCUUGUUUUCCUGCCUCAGACACUG
ensembl:scaRNA